UCACAUCUACUAUGUGUCUUGAACAAUGCUCUAGUCCAGGUCUGAAAUGGUCUUUCAGGAUGAUCGAACCAUUUUAUAGCCUCUCUGUCCUCUUGCUUGAGUCGUUCCAUACAAAUCUUAAAUUUCACCUCAUUACUUGCUCUUGCUGCAUUCCAUACUAGAUCCUUUAGUCCCUUGCCUUUAUGUUUAUGCCUAAAAUUUUGAUAUAUGUGUCUAACACAAUUUCUAUGUUCUGCUUUUGGAAACAAUUCCUUAACAACUCCAAUCAAUCCAUGUAACAUAGAUUUUAAAUUGUCAAAUACAUAAUAAAAAAAAAACCAGUAAACUAGAAAAAUGAAAGAAUUUGGAUGUCUCACUUUUUGUCUGUCAGACAUGAAGGCAAUGUGGUGACUAUUUGUUAUCUCUAAGUCAUAUCCAAGAUUUGUUAGAAACCAACUCCAAGUCUCCUUACUUUCAGCAUCACUGUGAAAGAUGCAAUCAUUAGGAUCCAUUGCAAUAGCAGCUAACAAAUUGCC
rnacentral:lncRNA from 1 species